CAGUCGCCGCGGGAAUACGUAGGUCCCGAGCGUUGUCCGGAUUUAUUGGGCGUAAAGGGAGCGCAGGCGGUUUAGUAAGUCUGAAGUUAAAGGCAUUGGCUCAACCAAUGUAUGCUUUGGAAACUGUUAGACUUGAGUGCAGAAGGGGAGAGUGGAAUUCCAUGUGUAGCGGUGAAAUGCGUAGAUAUAUGGAGGAACACCGGUGGCGAAUGCGGCUCUCUGGUCUGUCACUGACGCUGAGGCUCGAAAGCGUGGGUAGCGAACAGGAUUAGAUACCCGCGUAGUCCCUGUCUCUUAUACA
rnacentral:rRNA from 1 species